rnacentral:lncRNA from 1 species
CUCUGCUUCAGUUCCUGCCUCCAGGCUCCUGCCUUUGAGUUCCUGCCCUGACUUCCACUCUCAAUGGUAAGCACUUUCCUCCCCAGCGUGCCUUUGGUUAUAGUAUUUGUCACAGCAAUAGAAAGCAAGUUAUGACAGAGGUCUUUUAAUUCACUGGUAAUUAUAAGAGAAAAUUAUUUGACAAACAAGGAAGGUAUAAAUAUAUCUCAUUCUACAAACAGCCUGAUCAGGAAACCAGCUUGACAUUAGUCAUGAUAGAUUUACCUGAGAACUAUUUGAUUGAUAGUAUCUAACACUAUAGCCAGUGAUAACCAAAACAUUACUAGGCCUGACAGCAAUGCACUAGAAAUGAUUCCUUUCUAAAGAAGGGAUAAAAAGAAAAAGUAUAAACAUAUAUACACCUAGCUGCAUCAUUAUUAAAGACCUAAAACGUGAUUAAAAAUAAUGAAAGCAGCCUAUGAAAAAUGAGACAUUUUGAUUGGCAAGUUCUUAUCAGAAAUAACAGAGCCUAGAUGAGUGAAGAGAGUCUUUGAGUGGUCAGACUGAAGCCCACAUCUUUCAUUAAUAUGGUAAAAAAAUAUACAGCAUGGCCAAGUAGGGCUUACUUUCUCAGGCACACACUCAGAAAAUAUAUAUAAGCUAUUUUACAAUAUUAAGAUGUUGAAGAGAAAAAACAGUACAUGUCUACUCUAAUAUCUACAGAAAAAAAAACAAAUUCAACAUCUAGACUUUAAAAAAAAAACCUGCCAAAUAAAACUAGAAACAAAUUUCUUUAGCCAAAUCUAAAAUCAGAAUGAAACAUUCAUACGAGUUACAGGCUUACUGUAAACUCGGCACACUUAGAUUCCAAAAGACGGUUCUACUCCCUUAUUAGUUUAAGGUUAUUUAAGCUACCCUUAAAAACAACAACAACAAUAAUGUCUAAUGUGGAUUUGGUCUAAUGUUUGUGUUAUGUUACUAGGGUCCCCCAAAUUGCACCAUAAUCUGCAUGUAAGAUGCUGAAGUUCCCUGUCCUCAGUUGAUUUUGAUUGGUAAAUAAAGUUGCUAGUGACCAAUGACAGGGCAGGGAGACAUAGGCUGGGCUUUAGGAUUCCCGGGCAAGGGACCAGGGAAUGAGGAAGAAGAUAGAGCUGCCAUGCAGGGAAAGACCAGGCCUGAGAGGUGCAGAAGAGAGAACAUAGCAAUCAUGUAAGAACUGUGGAAGAGUGGUCCCAGUCCCAGCCCCUCCUCUCACUCGGUCUAGGGCAGCAAAAAUGAAAUAUAGAUUUUAGUAAAUAUCAGUAAUAUCAGAGGGGAGGUGUUUACAAUGUGGAGGCUUGGGAGUGACUCAGUCAUUGAGCUGUUCAAGGCAUAUUAAGAUGUAAGGCUGUGUGUGUCUGUAUGUGUGUGUGUGUGUGUGUGUGUGUGUGUGUGUGUGUGUGUGUGUAUGUGUGUACAUGUGUAGUGUGUCUUUCAGGAACCCAGAACACGGGGGGAGGGGAGCAAGGAACUCAUAGCAGGCACCUGGUCCAUUAAGAAGAGAUUAAUUGGCAACUAUAACAAUCUACAACAUCAAAGCAAACAGAAAACAAGAAACAGAAAGAUCACAUUUAGUGUGAAACUGAUGAGCUUGCAUGCUUGAAGAAGAAAGUUGUCAUAAGAUGAGGGCUGCAUAGGUAGCUGUGAGUACAUACAUGAGACCAUAUGAACAAAUUUGAUACCUUACUAAAGUUGUAAGUGCAUGCCAGCAUAAAAAAAGGAAUACCAUUAGAGAAUAGUGUAUUUUUUGUCUCUUGGGAAAGCUGUUUUCUCAGUAUAAUAUUUGGAGUGGUCUGCUCUUUCUCUUGUUGAUUUGUAAUGUUUUCCAUAUUAUAUCCCCAAACCCCAUAAGCAUUUGAAUGUGUUUUAGGGCUUUGAAAAUGCUUAAACUAAAACAUUUAACGAUGCUAAAUAUUGUUAAGAUGUAGUUGCCUUUAUAAUUCUUAUAAAUUGACAAAGAGGCCAAUAAUUCAUAUCGCUACAUUGGAGAGGGAAAUUAGACACUAUAUUAUUACAUUGGACAAAAGACAUUCUUUAUCAUGCAAUGGAUUUACUUAUAUGCAUAUAACCAAGAAAACACCCAUGUUCAUGAAAGAUAGGCACAAAUUGAUGCAUUGUACAUUGUUAGUACAGGAAAAUGUCAGCAACAGAAACAUUUUUCUAUACUUAUUGGUGGGAAAGCUUUUGCCUAUUAGAAGAAGAUAAGUCGGUUGAAAAGUAUAAAUAUAAUCUAUAACAUCCACAUGGACAGAGCUCAAAAGCUAAUAAGGAAUAGCAUACAGCAAAUACUUAUUCCAGGAAAAUACCAUGUAUGAAAAGGUGUAGUCUAACAUGAUCUUAAGUACAUGUCUAUAACAUAGACAUGUAGUAAUCAGGAGUCAUUAUUCUUUUAUAAUUUCUUUAGAAUGAAAAGAGAAAAGUAGACAUCUAAUGAUAUUUUCUUUGUUUAAAAACAUCUAAGGCAAUAAUAUAAGUUAUUAACACUUGUUUACAUUAAAUAAUAAAUGCAGUGUCCAUUAUGUUCCAUAGUCUUCAUUAAACAGGAGAGAAUUUAUGCCUAUUAUUUUAACCUGGACAAGAGCCAAUUCCUGGAGAGAUCCCAGGCCAUG